rnacentral:rRNA from 1 species
AGAGUGAGCGCUGGCGGCAGGCCUAACACAUGCAAGUCGAACGGCAGCACAGCAGAGCUUGCUCUGUGGGUGGCGAGUGGCGGACGGGUGAGGAAUACAUGGGAAUCUGCCCAGCCGUGGGGGAUAACGUAGGGAAACUUACGCUAAUACCGCAUGCGCCCUUCGGGGGAAAGCCGGGGACCUUCGGGCCUGGCGCGAUUGGAUGAGCCCAUGUCGGAUUAGCUAGUUGGCGGGUAACGCCCACCAAGGCGACGAUCCGUAGCUGGUCUGAGAGGAUGAUCAGCCACACUGGAACUGAGACACGGUCCAGACU